rnacentral:rRNA from 1 species
AGUGUGUGAAUAACAUAUUGGGUAGGGGAGCGUUCUGUAAGCCGUAGAAGGUAUCUUGUGAGGGGUGCUGGAGGUAUCAGAAGUGCGAAUGCUGACAUAAGUAACGAUAAAGCGGGUGAAAAGCCCGCUCGCCGGAAGACCAAGGGUUCCUGUCCAACGUUAAUCGGGGCAGGGUGAGUCGACCCCUAAGGAGAGGCCGAAAGGCGGAUCUAAUGGGAAACGGGUUAAUAUUCCCGUACUGAAUAUAACUGCGAUGGGGGGACGAAGAAGGCUAGGUUUACCACCUAUUGGAUGGUGGGUUAAGCGUGUAGGGGUGUGACUUGGAAAAUCCGGUCACUGUAACUCUGAGGCGUGAUGACGAGGCACUAAGGUGCUGAAGUAAUUGAUGCCCUGCUUCCAGGAAAAGCCUCUAAGCUCUAGGUUAUAUUGAAUCGUACCCGAAACCGACACAGGUGGUCAGGUAGAGAAUACUCAGGCGCUUGAGAGAACUCGGGUGAAGGAACUAGGCAAAAUGGUGCCGUAACUUCGGGAGAAGGCACGCUGAUAUUAGUUGAAGUCCGUAGCGG